rnacentral:rRNA from 1 species
GUCUGACCUGCUCAUGAUUUUAUUAAAUAGCCGCAGUACUUUGACUGUGCAAAGGUAGCAUAAUCAUUUGUCUUUUAAUUGAAGGCUUGUAUGAAUGGUCUGAUGAAAAUUUGACUUUCUUUUUAUUAAUUUAUUGAAUUUAACUUCUUAGUCAAAAGGCUAAGAUUUUUGAAUGGGACGAGAAGACCCUAUAGAAUUUUAUUUUUAUUUAUAUUUUAAUAAUUGGAUUUUUUUAUUAUUUUAUAUUUGAAAAUUUUGUUGGGGCGACAGGAUGAUUUUUAUAACUCAUUUAUUUAAAUGAUUAUUGAUUAAUAAAUUAUUGAUCCUUAAUAUUAGGAUUUAUAGAUUAAAUUACUUUAGGGAUAACAG